GGUCCAUAGAAACGUAACAAUGAAACAGAAAGUUGUGGGGAGGGAGCCUCUUCAACACUUCAGCCUCAAAACCCCAUCAAAACAACAGUCCUGUGCAGAUGUGGCUGUUUGCUCCUACAGGAGGCAGUGAUGGUUCCACCCUUGAUGGCUUUAAAAGGAGGUUAGACACAUUCAUGGAGGAGGCUAUCAAUGUGAUGGCUAUGCUCUACCUCCAAAGUCAGAGGCAGCAAUGCUUCUGAAUGCCAGUUGCUGGAAACCACAGGAGGAGAGAGUACUGCUGCACUCAGGUCCUCCUUUGGGGAUUCUCACAUGCAUUUGGUUGGCCACUGUGAAAACAGAAUGCUGGACUAGAUGGGCCAUGGGCCUGAUCCAGCAGGCUUAUCUUAUGUUCUUAUACAAUUCUAAACAGUCAUGACUUUCCCCAAAAGAAUCCUGGCAAUUAUAGCUUGUAAAGUAAGGGUGUUGAGAGAUGUUAGGAAAGCCCUGUUCUGUAAAAAAGCAACAAAGUUAUGGAUAAAAAUAAAUGACUAAAUAAAUUUCUAGAGAUUUGUUUUUUUUAAAAAAAAGUCUGGAUCAGUCAGGGCCAGACGGGGCCUGGUUCAGGACAUUGUCACUGAAGCAAGUUUUGAGCGGAGAUAUUGUCGAGGAUAUCCAAAACCACAGUGCACCCUGGAACUCAAUCCCCACUGUGGCUCUGAUGGCGUGCCAUAUGGCAACAAGUGUGACUUCUGCAAUGUGUAUAUCCAAAGUGGAAGACGUCUUAGACUGAAGAACCUUGGAAACUGCAGAAAACUUGAAGACUAAAGAACAUCUACAAAAGAAAGUCCAUUUCUCAUCAUACCCUGUUCAUGCCAUCUCCA